GUUAAAUUGGUCUAGUGAUUAGCACUCAAGACUACGAAUUCUGCGAUUCCGAGUUCUACUCUCGGCAAUAGCA
rnacentral:tRNA from 1 species